GACGAACGCUGGCGGCGCGCCUAACACAUGCAAGUCGAACGAGCGAGAGAGAGCUUGCUUUCUCGAGCGAGUGGCGAACGGGUGAGUAACGCGUGAGGAACCUGCCUCAAAGAGGGGGACAACAGUUGGAAACGACUGCUAAUACCGCAUAAGCCCACGGGUCGGCAUCGACCAGAGGGAAAAGGAGCAAUCCGCUUUGAGAUGGCCUCGCGUCCGAUUAGCUAGUUGGUGAGGUAAUGGCCCACCAAGGCAACGAUCGGUAGCCGGACUGAGAGGUUGAACGGCCACAUUGGGACUGAGACACGGCCCAGACUCCUACGGGAGGCAGCAGUGGGGAAUAUUGCACAAUGGGGGAGACCCUGAUGCAGCGACGCCGCGUGGAGGAAGAAGGUCUUCGGAUUGUAAACUCCUGUUGUUGAGGAAGAUAAUGACGGUACUCA
rnacentral:rRNA from 1 species